rnacentral:lncRNA from 1 species
GGUAUGAAGUGAAUUUCUAUGACACACAAUAUGUUAUUGAACUGAAUUCACUCACUUACAACUAUAGGCUAUGGGAUUUGUCUGGAAUCCUUCGUAAACAUGCAAUUGCAGCAAUACAUGUAAAUAGAGAGAAGUCAGAGACAUUUAUGCAUCAAUAUUACCACAAAUCUACAUAUUUAGCAGUAUACAAUCAUGCAAUCUAUCCAGUGCCAAGCUAGGA